rnacentral:sRNA from 1 species
GCUGGGCAUGGUGGCGCAUGCAUGUAAUCCGAUCUACUUGGGAAGCUGAGGAAGGAGAAUUGCACGUUUGAGGACAGCGUGGGCAAUUAAACAAGACCUUGCCCCCC